AUGGCCGGCAGCAACGAAGAGAAGGCGAAGAAGCUGAUCGAGGAAGAAAAGGCCAAGGCGGAGGCCGCGGCGCUUGGAACAUCCCUGGCGCGCCUCACCACCGAGGAGGGCUCGGGGGUGCGCGUCGUCGAGCGCGUCGUGCACAGCAGCGGCGGCGGCGGCCCCCCGAUGAUGCUCACACGCACAAACUACUCCGACUGGGCAAUGAUCACUAAACUGCAGGCGUGGGAUACCCUGAAGACCAUGCGCGUCGGCGUCGAGCGCGUGCGUGAGGCCAAGGCGCAGACUCGCCGCUCGGAGUACGAGGCACUCCGGUACAAGGACGGCGAGGGGAUCGAGUCGUAUGUCAUGCGACUCAGGACGAUCAUCGACGAGCUGCAGCCGCUCGGCGACCCGGUGGAUGAGCACAAAGUUGUCCUCAAGGUGCUCCGCACUGUGCCACGCCCGUACCGCAAGAUGGCCGUGGCGAUCGAGUCACUCGUCGACACCAGGCAGCUCUCUCUCGAAGAACUCUGCGGCCGGCUCCUUGUCGUCGAGGAGUGUGGUCGCGAGGAGACCCCGGCGCCCGGCGCGCAGCUGUUGUACACCAUUGAUCAGUGGCGUGCGCACGAGAAACAACUCGACCAGAAUAGCGCGUCCUCUGGCUCUGGAGCAGGGCGUGGGCGCGGAAACGGCAAACCAAAGAACUUCCAAGGUGGGGGCGGCCGUGGCCAGAGCGCUGGCCGCGGCAAUGGCGGGCCAGCGACACCCAAGCGGAAGGGAAACUGCCGCUACUGUGGCAUCCCUGGUCAUUGGGCGAAGGAGUGCCGCAAGAAGGAGCGGGAGCAGCGCGAGCAGCAGGAUCAGCAGGCGAACGUCGCCCAGGUCGAGGUUGAGCAGCCAGGCUUGCUCCUCGCCACCUGCGCGGCGGUGAGCGCGACGAGCGCGGUGGGCGGCAUGCGUGAGCGCUCCACAGAUAUCUUCCUCAACGAAGCUCGCGUGGCAGAGUUUGCUGGCUAUGUGACAGAGCACUCGGCAUUCGACCACGGUCUCCGUCAGCCGAGUCCAGCAAGCACAAUCAUCGGGAUGGCUCAAGAUUUUGUUGGCAGCAACAAUAUCAAUCUUUUGAAGCCCCGUGGCCAGUUUGGUACCAGACUUUCGGGAGGCAAAUAUCCGGGUAAGGCGCACCACAUCUGCACCAGUUUGGCACCUAUCACCCGUUUAAUUUUUCCCAAGGACGAUGAUGUUCUUCUCAACUAUCUGAAUGAAGAAGGGCAAUCGAUUGAACCCAGUUGGUAUCUUCCGGUCAUUCCCAUGGUUUUGGUCAAUGGAUGUAAAGGCUUUGGCAAUGGAUGGAGCAGCCAUGUCCCAAACUAUAAUCCAAAAGACAUCAUUGCUAACCUGAAAAGGCUGCUACAUGGAGAGGCAAUCGUACCAAUGGUCCCUUGGUACAAAGGGUUCAAGGGCUCUGUGAAGGAGAAAAGUUCAAAGGCAGCUGGUGUCAGAUAUACCAUCACUGGUAUUAUAGAGGAAGUUGAUGUUACCAAGCUAAAAAUUACUGAGCUUCCCGUCCGAUGCUGGACUUAUGAUUACGGACAAUUUCUUGUAUCCCUGUGUAAGGGCAAGGACAAGGAACCACCGUUUCUGGAGGACAUGAGCCCCAAUUACGAUCAUGCGGACGUGGAGUUUGAGGUUAUCUUGAGUAAGCAAAACAUGAGUAUUGCUAAGGAAAAAGGACUUGAGAAGACAUUCAAGCUGACAACCACAAUAGGAACAACAAACAUGCGCUUGUUUGACUCGGAUGGUAAAAUUCGAAAAUACGACUCCCCAGAGGACAUACUUAAAGAGUUCUUCAAACUGAGGCUUCAAUUUUAUGGCAGAAGAGAGGCAGUAAUGCUGCAAAAUAUUGGGGAAGAGUUGUUGAAGCUUAAGAACAAAGCGAAGUUUAUUCAUGCUGUUAUCUCCGGGGACAUCGAACUGGUUAAAAGGAAGAAGACAGAGCUAAUCCUGGAGCUUAAGCAGAAGGGAUAUGAACCAUUACCAAAGAGAAACAUUACCGCCGAGCCAGUUGCUGUAGGAGGAGCUACAGAAGUGGAAGCAGAAGGAUUUCAUGUGAUCGAUUAUGAGUAUCUUUUCACAAUGACAAUAGGUACAUUUACUCAUGAGAAGGUACAUGAGCUCAUAGCACAGCAGAAGAAAUUAGAGGACAAAGCUGAAAGUUUGGGCAAAGCAACUCCAAAAACUUUGUGGUUGAGAGACCUAGAUGCCCUUGAAAAGGAACUUGAUGCGAUUGAUGCAAAACUUGAGGAGAUGAGAUGUCGGCGGCAAAAAGACUAUCGAGGCGAGAAGGUGUCUGAAGUAGCAAUAUCAGCAGCCAAAUCUCACAAGGCAAGUGCACCAGUUGCGGUGAGAGAUGACGAGGAUGAAGUGCUCGAACUAAAAGAGUGUUUCUCCUCUCCAAAACAUAGUGCCAUGGAAGAUGAGACUACACAAGGAGAACAAAAAGGACAGAAGAGGAGGAACGAGCCAAGCAAAAUAGAAAACAAUUCUAGUGCUCCUCCAGGGAAGAAGGUGCGAAAAAGCAGCUCGGUUUUGUAG
rnacentral:rRNA from 1 species